GACCAUAAGACCAUGUUUAGUUUUUUUUUGUUAUUUUGUCCAUAGGACAGGCAAAGGAAACAUAACCCAUACAGCCAAAUACUAUAUUAGGUCUAACACACCAAGGCUCCGAUAUGUAUGAAGGAAAUGCACAAUGCUAAAAACUGCGUAGGAGAUUUUAAUACAAUAGUACUACCAAGCCUGAUGUUGGCCGCUAUUUCAAUGAAUGCAGCAGUGUGACAGCUAGCAAUCAAAAGUAACAAGAUAUCGAGGAAAUGCAGAUGGCAAUAAACUGUGUAGAAGUUCAUGAUUGCAAUAGAAUAAAAUCGACCAAGCCUGAAGUCAGCAGCCCCUUCAAUGAAUGCAGCAGUGUGACAGCCAGCAAUCAAAAGUUACAAGAUAUCGAGGAAAUGCAGAAGGCAAAAAACUGCGUAGGAGAUCAUUAAUACAAAAGUAUUAUAUAAACCAAGCCUGAUGUUGGCCGCUCAUUCAAAGAAUGCAGCAGUGUGACAGCCAGCAAUCAAAAGUAACAAGAUAUCGAGGAAAUGCAGAAGGCAAAAAACUGCGUAGGAGAUCAUUAAUACAAUAGUAUUAUAUAAACCAAGCCUGAUGUUGGCCGCUCAUUCAAAGAAUGCAGCAGUGUGACAGCCAGCAAUCAAAAGUAACAAGAUGUCGAGGAAAUGCAGAGUGCAAUAAACUGUGUAGGAGAUUAUGAUUGUAAUAGAAUAAAAUCGACCAAGCCUGAAGUCCUUCAAUGCACGCAGCAGUGUGACAGCCAGCAAUCAAAAGUUACAAGAUAUCGAGGAAAUGCAGAAGGCAAAAAACUUCGUAGGAGAUUAUUAAUACAAUAGUAUUAUAUCAACCAAGCCUGAUGUCGGUAGCUUCUUCAAUGAAUGCAGCAGUGUGACAGCCAGCAAUCAAUAGUGACAAGAAUCUAGGAAAUACAGAAGGCAAAGAAGCAGAUGUCAUCAAAAAAGAUCUUUGUUCCUGCAAUGUUUCCGCAGUCGAUACAGAUACAGAUCCAACAGAGCGAAGUGGAAGGAAAAGACUCGGAAAAAAGACCCCACCACCAUAUGGGAACAAUGCAAGGGAGAGAGAGAGAAUAUAAUGUUAUAUUUUUAUUUUUUGAUAACAUAAAAUAAACCAACAAU
rnacentral:lncRNA from 1 species